AUUGAACGCUGGCGGCAUGCCUUACACAUGCAAGUCGAACGGCAGCACGGGUGCUUGCACCUGGUGGCGAGUGGCGAACGGGUGAGUAAUACAUCGGAACAUGUCCUGUAGUGGGGGAUAGCCCGGCGAAAGCCGGAUUAAUACCGCAUACGAUCUACGGAUGAAAGCGGGGGACCUUCGGGCCUCGCGCUAUAGGGUUGGCCGAUGGCUGAUUAGCUAGUUGGUGGGGUAAAGGCCUACCAAGGCGACGAUCAGUAGCUGGUCUGAGAGGACGACCAGCCACACUGGGACUGAGACACGGCCCAGACUCCUACGGGAGGCAGCAGUGGGGAAUUUUGGACAAUGGGCGAAAGCCUGAUCCAGCAAUGCGGCGUGUGUGAAGAAGGCCUUCGGGUUGUAAAGCACUUUUGUCCGGAAAGAAAUCCUUGGCCCUAAUACGGUCGGGGGAUGACGGUACCGGAAGAAUAAGCACCGGCUAACUACGUG
rnacentral:rRNA from 1 species